rnacentral:lncRNA from 1 species
CUGGGGAUUCUGUCCUCAUCAAUGGGGUGAGAAGGACGCUGUCUGGACAUCCCACAUUCUGAGCAGGACACAAGGGAGCAGUUCCAGCGUUCGGGUUUUGUUAUGAGGUAGCCUGGGAUCACUGCCCCCCUCCAAUCUCUUGGAGCAGGAAGAGAGUUCACCGAUGUGAGGGAAGAGGUCACUGCAUGUCCUAAUUCCUCUCUCCAUGGCUAGGCGUGGAGGGUUCUCUCGGCAAUGACCCUGCUAGAGUACGGAUGAGGAAGGUCCUAAACCCUGGAACUUGCAGGGUCAUGAAGCCUACCUGGUCUUGAGAAUUGGAGACUGUCUUGUCAGAAAAUUGUAUCAACUGGAGAUAGAAGGCUGGGAGGAGACACAGCCAGAAGGAAGACAGAGAGCCAGGGUGCAGGCUCUUCCCAGACUCUGAAUCCACUGGUACCUUGGCCUUGUGACUUCCAGAACCCUGAAGAAUAAAUGAAAUGCAUUUCU